rnacentral:tRNA from 1 species
AGCGCUGAUGGUCGAGUGGUCUAGGCGUUAGACUUUUACUCCAGGACUCCAGGGGUCUGUGGUUCGAGCCCAGUUGCGUUU